rnacentral:rRNA from 1 species
UAAUACGUAGGAUCCGAGCGUUGUCCGGAUUUACUGGGUAUAAAGGGUGCGUAGGCGGGUUUGUGCUUCAGAGGUUAAAGACCGCAGCUCAACUGCGGGAGUGCCUCUGAUAAGGCAAAUCUUGGAUAUGAGAGGGGUAGGUAGAAUUCCUGGUGUAGCGGUGAAAUGCGUAGAUAUCAGGAGGAAUACCAGUGGCGAAGGCGGCCUACUGGCUCAUAAUCGACGCUGAGGCACGAAAGCGUGGGGAUCAAACAGG